GGUGGUGUAGUGGUUAAGACCUUGGCUGUUAACCAAAAGGUCGGUGGUUCAAAUCCACCAGCCA
rfam:Loxodonta africana unplaced genomic scaffold scaffold_25, whole genome shotgun sequence.